rnacentral:rRNA from 1 species
AGUGAACGCUGGCGGUAGGCCUAACACAUGCAAGUCGAACGGCAGCACAGUAAGAGCUUGCUCUUACGGGUGGCGAGUGGCGGACGGGUGAGGAAUACAUCGGAAUCUACUUUUUCGUGGGGGAUAACGUAGGGAAACUUACGCUAAUACCGCAUACGACCUACGGGUGAAAGCAGGGGAUCUUCGGACCUUGCGCGAUUGAAUGAGCCGAUGUCGGAUUAGCGAGUUGGCGGGGUAAAGGCCCACCAAGGCGACGAUCCGUAGCUGGUCUGAGAGGAUGAUCAGCCACACUGGAACUGAGACACGGUCCAGACUCCUACGGGAGGCAGCAGUGGGGAAUAUUGGACAAUGGGCGCAAGCCUGAUCCAGCCAUACCGCGUGGGUGAAGAAGGCCUUCGGGUUGUAAAGCCCUUUUGUUGGGAAAGAAAAGCAGCAGGUUAAUACCACGCUGUUCUGACGGUACCCAAAGAAUAAGCACCGGCUAACUUCGUG